rnacentral:sRNA from 1 species
AUCGGCUUCGAGAUGGAGCGCGAUAACAAGUCCGGCAAAAUGUCUGCCUGCAACCUGCAGACGGCUUAAGACAUCCGGUAUCUGCUUUCCGUUGACCACGGAUGUACUGGCACUGUCGAGAGCAUGAUAUUAUUGAAGGUCAGGCUAAUUGCCUGACCUUUUUUGUU